AUUGAACGCUGGCGGUAUGCUUUACACAUGCAAGUCGAACGGUAGAGGGGCAACCCUUGAGAGUGGCGAACGGGUGAGUAAUACAUCGGAACGUGCCCAGUCGUGGGGGAUAACGUAGCGAAAGCUACGCUAAUACCGCAUACGACCUGAGGGUGAAAGCGGGGGACCUGCAAGGGCCUCGCGCGAUUGGAGCGGCCGAUGGCAGAUUAGGUAGUUGGUGAGGUAAAGGCUCACCAAGCCGACGAUCUGUAGCUGGUCUGAGAGGACGACCAGACACACUGGGACUGAGACACGGCACAGACUCCUACGGGAGGCAGCAGUGGGGAAUUUUGGACAAUGGGCGCAAGCCUGAUCCAGCCAUACCGCGUGCAGGAAGAAGGCCUUCGGGUUGUAAACUGCUUUUGUCAGGGAAGAAAUCUUCUGGGCUAAUACCCUGGGAGGAUGACGGUACCUGAAGAAUAAGCACCGGCUAACUACGUGCCAGCAGCCGCGGUAACAC
rnacentral:rRNA from 1 species